AUGGAGGGCGCCGAGUUCGUCCACGCCGUGGCUCCCGGCGUCACCGUGGCCGACGUGGUCGUGCCGCUGUACACCCCCGUGGUGGUCCGGUCCUUCUUCCCGCUCGACGGGCUGCUCGGCGUGGACGCCGUGGCGGGCUCCCACCCGGUCCUGGCCGCGCAGGCCACCGAGCUCACUGACGGUGUCUUUGUCGCCAUGUCGCUCAACCACGGUGUUGGCGACGGGACGUCCUUCUGGCACCUCUUCAACACCUGGUCCGAGAUCAGCCGUCGUCAGAGUGACGCCGCCGCCAUCUCCUCGCCACUACCGCUACGGGCACCUAUCAUUGGUGGCAGUGGAGCCGCAGGACUGCUUCCUCCAUUUCUCCGCGGAGAGCGUAAGGAAGCUCAAAGCGAAGGCGAACGCCGAGGCAUCCGGCAGCGGCAGCGCCACCAUCUCCUCGUUGCAGGCCCUGCUGGCGCACCUGUGGUCGCGGUGUGCCGAGCGAGGAGGCUGGCGCCGGACCACAGCACAACGUACGUCCUCCUCGUCGGAUCCCGGGGCCGCUUGACCGACAUACCGUCGGGCUACGCGGGCAACGCCGUGGCACGCGCCGAGGCGACGUCCACGGCCGGCGAGAUCCUGGAGAGGGGUCUGGGCUGGGCCGCGUCGCUGUUGAACAAAAUGGUGGCGUCGCUCGACGAGGCGAGCGAGAGGGACAGGCUCGCGUCAUGGGCGCUGUGGCGCAGCUCGGCGAACAAGAUGGACGGGACGGCGACGGUGUUCGAAGGUAGGGGCGGCGGUGGGAGCAUGGCCUUGGAGGUGUGCCUCAACCCGGAGGUGCUCGCGAGGCUCGUCGCCGCCGACGAGUUCAUGAGCGGGGUGAGCACGGCCACAGCGUGA
rnacentral:rRNA from 1 species